UACGAAGGGUGCAAACGUUGCUCGGAAUCAUUGGGCGUAAAGCGCACGUAGGCGGCCUCAUAAGUCGGAUGUGAAAUCCCUCGGCUCAACCGAGGACGUGCAUCCGAAACUGUGAAGCUCGAGUAUGGAAGAGGGUCGCGGAAUUCCCGGUGUAGAGGUGAAAUUCGUAGAUAUCGGGAGGAACACCAGUGGCGAAGGCGGCGACCUGGGCCGUAAUUGACGCUGAGGCGCGAAAGCGUGGGGAGCAAACAGG
rnacentral:rRNA from 1 species